rnacentral:ncRNA from 1 species
CUGAUAGAGGCGCAGUGUAUCAUGAGUAAGCGGUGUUGUAAACGUCAGCCAAGACGGACAUUGCCAAAAGGGGUAGCUGCCGAGGACGCUCAAGGGCAAAGGAGCGAUCCGGCAGUGCGGUUAAUAUCCGCACCGCUGUCGCAUUCGCUUGCGGAGAGCUAUCGA